CCACUAGCUGUAGCCUUAUGAAAUUUUCGAGUAGAAAUUUUUUUUAAUAUUUUUUCGUUAUUUUUUAUUCUUUUCUUCUUUUAAAGCAUUAUUUGAGUGAAAAGAAACUAGUUGCCGCAUUAAAAUAUAUCACAUUUAUAAAUUUUGCGAUAUUACUAUACAAAAAGCCUAAGUCUAUAUAGCCUUAGGAGAUUGGCAUAUUUAUAGAAACAUCUGAGACAUCUAUACAGACAUACAGACAUCUGGGGACAUGGCCGUCGAAGAAGAAAAUGUAGCCCUUGGUGUCAUCUAUCGACCACAGGUUAUAGAUUGGCGAUCUGUUGGAUACCAAUCGAGUUAUAGGCAAAAAUUGGUGCAAAAAUGAGCCUUUUGAACUGUUAAAAUUUUUAUAUUUUUUUUUAUUUUUUUCUGAUUUUUUUUUAAUUUAAAACAUUAAUCGAGUGAAAAUAAACUUAUUUGCACCAAUUGGCAUUAAAAUAAAUCAAUUUAAAUUUUUUUGCAAAAUUUCUCAAAAAAAUGGCAAGGGGUACCCCUUAUGAAAUUUUCGAGUUGAAAAUUUUUUAAAAUUUUUUUUCUGAUUUUUUAUUCUUUUUUAAAUUUAAAGCACUAUUUAAGUGAAAAGAAACUUAUUGCAACAAAAUUCGCAUUAAAAUAUACCACAUUUUUCAAUUUUGCUAAAUUACUCAAAAAUGAGGAAAUUUUACAUUUUCUCAAACAAGGUAAGGAACUUGGUUCCUCGAAUAACUUCUGGCACAGACAUCUGAGGGCAAGGCCGUCCAAGAAGAAAAUGUAGCCAUUGUUGCCAUCUAUCGACCACAGGUUAAAGAUUGGUGAUCCGUUGGAUACCGACCGAGUUAUAGGCAAAAGUUGGUGCAAAAAUGAGGAAAAUUUUACAUUUUCUCAAACAGGGUAAGGAACUUGGUUCCUCGAAUAACUUCUGGCACAGACAUCUGAGGGCAAGGCCGUCCAAGAAGAAAAUGUACCCAUUAUUGCCAUCUAUCGACCACAGGUUAAAGAUUGGCGAUCCGUUGGAUACCGACCGAGUUGUAGGCAAAAUUUGGUGCAAAAAUGAGUCUUAUGAAAUUUUCUAAUUUUUAUAUUUUUUCCAUUUUUUUAGAUUUUUUACUCUUUUUUUAAUUUUAAGCAUUAUUUGAGUGAAAAGAAACUCAUUGCAACCAAUUGGCAUUAAAAUAAAUCAAUUUAAUUUUUUUUGCAAAAUUUCUCAAAAAAAUGGCAAGGGGUACCCCUUAUUAAAUUUUCGAGUUAAAAAUUUUUUAAAUUUUUUUUUCUGAUUUUUUAUUCUUUUUUAAAUUUAAAGCACUAUUUAAGUGAAAAGAAACUUAUUGCAACAAAAUUCGCAUUAAAAUAUACCACAUUUUUCAAUUUUGCUAAAUUACUCAAAAAUGAGGAAAUUUUACAUUUUCUCAAACAGGGUAAGGAACUUGGUUCCUCAAAUAACUUCUGGCACAGACAUCUGAGGGCAAGGCCGUCCAAGAAGAAAAUGUAGCCAUUGUUGCCAUCUAUCGACCACAGGUUAAAGAUUGGUGAUCCGUUGGAUACCGACCGAGUUAUAGGCAAAAGUUGGUGCAAAAAUGAGGAAAUUUUACAUUUUCUCAAACAGGGUAAGGAACUUGGUUCCUCGAAUAACUUCUGGCACAGACAUCUGAGGGCAAGGCCGUCCAAGAAGAAAAUGUAGCCAUUGUUGCCAUCUAUCGACCACAGGUUAAAGAUUGGUGAUCCGUUGGAUACCGACCGAGUUAUAGGCAAAAGUUGGUGCAAAAAUGAGGAAAAUUUUACAUUUUCUCAAACAGGGUAAGGAACUUGGUUCCUCGAAUAACUUCUGUCACAGACAUCUGAGGGCAUGGCCGUCCAAGAAGAAAAUGUACCCAUUAUUGCCAUCUAUCGACCACAGGUUAAAGAUUGGCAAUCCGUUGGAUACCGACCGAGUUAUAGGCAAAAGUUGGUGCAAAAAUGAGGAAAAUUUUACAUUUUCUCAAACAGGGUAAGGAACUUGGUUCCUCGCAUAACUUCUGGCACAGACAUCUGAGGGCAAGGCCGUCCAAGAAGAAAAUGUAUCCAUUAUUGCCAUCUAUCGACCACAGGUUAAAGAUUGGCGAUCCGUUGGAUACCGACCGAGUUGUAGGCAAAAUUUGGUGCAAAAAUGAGUCUUAUGAAAUUUUCUAAUUUUUAUAUUUUUUCCAUUUUUUUAGAUUUUUUACUCUUUUUUUAAUUUUAAGCAUUAUUUGAGUGAAAAGAAACUCAUUGCAACCAAUUGGCAUUAAAAUAAAUCAAUUUAAUUUUUUUUGCAAAAUUUCUCAAAAAAAUGGCAAGGGGUACCCCUUAUUAAAUUUUCGAGUUAAAAAUUUUUUAA